GCUAGAACCACAGAGCACCACAGAACUGUGUGUUUUGGUCAUCUGGAUCAAUGAAAGACCUAGUUAUUCCAAACAGGUCUUUGUGCCACCUUUGUGCCAAGUUUAUUUACUUUAUACUUUGUAUUCUUUUGGAUAUCUUUAAUUCUAAACAAUCAAUGCAAUCGAUUAUCAAUACAGGAUUAGCAUAGAGGAUCAUCCCAUUGAGGAGAAGUAGUAGAAUUCAGAACUGUAUUAAUGAUUAGAAAAAUGAGCAAGAUCAUGUGAUGCUGAUGGUAGAAGGGCAUCAGUAUAUUCUUGGUGACGUGGUCUGGAGAGUUUUGUUUCUUUGGGCUGGAGUGUAAGUCAGUGGGUGUGUACAGGGAUUGAGUGUGGGUGUGGUGGGGUUGGAUUGUGUGAGUGAAUGGGUGGGUGCAUCCUCCCCCAACCGUAUAUAAGUGUGUGCCAGUCGCGUGCCCACACAAGUCAUUCUUCACAGUCUUGUGUGCAUUAGCGAGACCAAACGUGCCCAAGAACAUGGACUUCAUGAAAAAGAUAGCUACCGAUGGAAAGUUGGACAAGUUCGCUGACAAAGCAGCUGAUGCUGCAAAGGCGAAAGUUGGUGAAGUGCUCGAUGAAGCAGCACUCGAGGAGAAAGCAAAGGGAGUCGCUGCUGAGAAGAUCGGUGCGGUGGUAGACGGUGCAGAAGACAAGGCUUUGGGUUUUGGGAAAAAACUGUUUGGAUGACUUUUCCUCUUUCAGUAUAAUGUUGUUUGAUAUGAAAACAAUGUUUUUUGGGACCUGAUUAAAAAAUAUAUUUUGUCAAAUUACCUGCCAUUGCUUCAGCAGUAGUUAUUUUUCAUUGAAUCUAAGACUCUAUCUUUCAUUGGAUUUAAGACUCUAACUAUCUUUCAUUGAUACACUCUAACUAUCUUAAUAGGGCCAUGGAUCUUGUUUGUUAACAUUUGGGUUUUAAUAUGAAUACAGGUUGUGUUGACAUGCUCAGAACUCUGAUUACUACAUAUACAUGGAAAGGAGUAGAUGCCAUAUAAAAUCUUUGGAAUAAAUUCUAUUGUCCAAUGACA
rnacentral:lncRNA from 1 species